GAUGAACGCUGGCGGCGUGCCUAAUACAUGCAAGUCGAGCGAACAGACGAGGAGCUUGCUCCUCUGACGUUAGCGGCGGACGGGUGAGUAACACGUGGUUAACCUACCUAUAAGACUGGGAAAACUUCGGGAAACCGGAGCUAAUACCGGAUAAUAUAUUGAACCGCAUGUUUCAAUAGUAAAAGACGGUUUUGCUGUCACUUAUAGAUGGAUCCGCGCCGCAUUAGCUAGUUGGUAAGGUAACGGCUUACCAAGGCAACGAUGCGUAGCCGACCUGAGAGGGUGAUCGGCCACACUGGAACUGAGACACGGUCCAGACUCCUACGGGAGGCAGCAGUAGGGAAUCUUCCGCAAUGGGCGAAAGCCUGACGGAGCAACGCCGCGUGAGUGAUGAAGGUCUUCGGAUCGUAAAACUCUGUUAUUAGGGAAGAACAAAUGUGUAAGUAACUAUGCACGUCUUGACGGUACCUAAUCAGAAAGCCACGGCUAACUACGUG
rnacentral:rRNA from 1 species